rnacentral:rRNA from 1 species
GAGUUUGAUUAUGGCUCAGGACGAACGCUGGCGGCGCGCCUAACACAUGCAAGUCGAGCGGAGACUUAUGAGGAGUAAUCUGAAUAAGUUUUAGCGGCGGACGGGUGAGUAACGCGUGAGCAACCUACCUUUUACAGGGGGAUAACGUCCCGAAAGGGACCCUAAUACCGCAUGAGACCACAAGAACGAAUGUUAAAGGGGUCAAAGGAGAAAUCCGGUAAAAGAUGGGCUCGCGUCCGAUUAGAUAGUUGGUGAGGUAACGGCCCACCAAGUCAACGAUCGGUAGCCGACCUGAGAGGGUGAUCGGCCACAUUGGAACUGAGACACGGUCCAGACUCCUACGGGAGGCAGCAGUGGGGAAUAUUGGGCAAUGGGGGAAACCCUGACCCAGCGACGCCGCGUGAAGGAAGACGGCCUUCGGGUUGUAAACUUCUGUUCUUGGUGAAGAGGGAAAGACGUACCAGGGAGCC